ACCCCUGUAGCUCAGCAGGAUAGAGCAGCGGUUUCCUAAACCGCAGGCCACCCGUUCGAAUCGGGUCAGGGGUA
rfam:Candidate division WOR_3 bacterium SM23_60 WORSMTZ_10463, whole genome shotgun sequence.